rnacentral:rRNA from 1 species
UACAGAGGGUGCGAGCGUUGUUCGGAAUUACUGGGCGUAAAGGGCGCGUAGGCGGACAGUUUAGUCAGAGGUGAAAGCCCAGGGCUCAACCUUGGAAUUGCCUUUGAUACUGGCUGUCUUGAGUUCGGGAGAGGUGAGUGGAAUGCCGAGUGUAGAGGUGAAAUUCGUAGAUAUUCGGCGGAACACCAGUGGCGAAGGCGACUCACUGGCCCGAUACUGACGCUGAGGCGCGAAAGCUAGGGGAGCAAACGGG